rnacentral:lncRNA from 1 species
CAUGUGUAUUAUUGCAAGUGUACUAAUUUGCAUAAUCAGCUCAUUUGAACGUCACUAUCAGAUAGCCCAUGACUUCCUAUUUGUUGGCAUUAACAGAUUUUUGAAAUCUAUGAUAGUUGUAAAGUUAUUUGAAAGCUUACAGACUUUUCUUCCACCCUGUGUAAUGUAUAUACAGUUGAACUUUUUGAUGGUGGAUACUGACUGGACUAAGGGCUUUGUCCAUUAUUGGGGGAUGAACUUGUCUUACAUAUUUAAAAAUAUACUGCAUUUUGCUUAGUUAUGAUUUUUCUUUGUAUUUCCUUAACAAUAAUUCAUUGUUGUUUGGGGACAAUUUUCAAUCAGGAUGAUAAAAAAAAGUAUCGAUUUCCAAGAAUUGAUAACAUAAAAUAAUUAAACAGUGAAAUACAGUAUUACAUAAGAAUGAUAUAUUAUUAGAUAG